GUGGCGGCGCUACCUGCAGUCGACGGUAGCACAGAGAGCUUGCUCUCGGGUGACGAGUGGCGGACGGGUGAGUAAUGUCUGGGAAACUGCCUGAUGGAGGGGGAUAACUACUGGAAACGGUAGCUAAUACCGCAUAACGUCGCAAGACCAAAGAGGGGGACCUUCGGGCCUCUUGCCAUCAGAUGUGCCCAGAUGGGAUUAGCUAGUAGGUGGGGUAACGGCUCACCUAGGCGACGAUCCCUAGCUGGUCUGAGAGGAUGACCAGCCACACUGGAACUGAGACACGGUCCAGACUCCUACGGGAGGCAGCAGUGGGGAAUAUUGCACAAUGGGCGCAAGCCUGAUGCAGCCAUGCCGCGUGUAUGAAGAAGGCCUUCGGGUUGUAAAGUACUUUCAGCGGGGAGGAAGGUGUUGUGGUUAAUAACCACAGCAAUUGACGUUACCCGCAGAAGAAGCACCGGCUAACUCCGUGCCAGCAGCCGCGGUAAUACGGAGGGUGCAAGCGUUAAUCGGAAUUACUGGGCGUAAAGCGCACGCAGGCGGUCUGUCAAGUCGGAUGUGAAAUCCCCGGGCUCAACCUGGGAACUGCAUUCGAAACUG
rnacentral:rRNA from 1 species